rnacentral:rRNA from 1 species
GUGUCAGCCGCCGCGGUAAGACGGAGGGAGCAAGCGUUGUUCGGAUUUACUGGGCGUAAAGGGCGUCUAGGCGGUUCAGCAAGUCAGAUGUGAAACCCCCCGGCUCAACCGGGGACCUGCAUUUGAAACUGCUGGUCUUGAGUACGGAAGAGGGAAGCGGAAUUCCUGGUGUAGCGGUGAAAUGCGUAGAUAUCAGGAAGAACACCGGUGGCGAAGGCGGCUUCCUGGUCCGAUACUGACGCUAAAGCGCGAAAGUGUGGGGAGCAAACAGGAUUAGAUACCCUGGUAGUCCACACUGUAAACGAUGGAUACUAGGUGUCGGGGGUAUCGACCCCUCCGGUGCCGAAGCUAACGCAUUAAGUAUCCCGCCUGGGGAGUACGGUCGCAAGGCUGAAACUUAAAUGAAUUGACGGGG